AGGAAGCACUAUUUUAAGACGAGUAAUCGAGUCCAUGAGAAACGACGAAAUAAGUCGCAUAGUCAAAAGUGAUAAUACAAUCCUUGCAUUUGGUGAAAAACUCUGUACAAAAAGGGGCCAUGAUGAAGAGCAACACAAUUAUAUUAGACAGAAGUUAAGAGAAGUUGGUAGAUUGCUGAAAGACAUGCGAUCUUGUUCAGGCAAUGUUGAAAAGUCUUUGGAGAAUUUUAUGUAUCCAGAUGCUUUCAAAUUUAUUACACAAUCUUGCAAAAACGUUGCAGGCUUCGACGGAAACACCAAUACUUAUGCUACACCAUCAUUAGCCUUAAAGAUUGGCACAACGCUUCAGAAAUGUCUAAAAAUUCUAAUUUCGAAAGGAAUCGAAACAAACAAUCGGGAUCUGCAAACAAGGGCUGAGGAGCUUUCCAAACUAUUUGAAAUUAAUUGGACGGAUGACGUGUCUUCCAAUGCCUUAAGAACACGCCAUGAGACUAAGCAGAACAGUCAGAAAGGACUGUUGCCAUAGGCAAAUGAUGUCAAAGUAAUGUCUGAAUACUUACGACAUGAAGCAGAAAGACAUGCAAAUACCUUACAAGGAUCAGCAAGUGAUUGCGAGAAAAGGCAAGCAUGGCAUAAGUUGUCUGAAAUCUGCUUGUGCCAAACUAUUCUGUUUAAUCGAAGACGAUCAGGCGAGGUGUCAAAAAUGACAGUCGAAGAAUAUUCAAAAAACAAAUUGACAAAUGACGAUGGAGAAUUAGAUGGAUGUUUAACAAAACUGGAAAAAGACCUGUGUCGUUAUUUUUACCGUACAGAGAUUAUUGCAAAACGAGGUCGAAUAGCUGCAGUACUGUUUCCAAGACAGGUGAAAGAAAAUAUCGACCUACUCGUACGCAGCAGAAAUUCUCUAACAAACUGUUUCAAUAGUAAAUAUCUUUUCCCAACAAUAUCUGCAUCAUCGCAUAUUCGUGGGACAGAUGUAUUACGUUCGAUUGCAAUUGACUGUGGAGCUGAACAUCCGGAAAGGCUUCGUUCUACAAAGUUAAGGAAACAUAUUGCCACAAUGACUCAGCUUUUUAACUUGUCUGAAAAUGAAUUAGACAUUCUAGCUUAAUUUCUUGGUCACGCCAUUCGGGUACAUAGAGAAUUCUACAGAUUACCAGAUGGAACCAUGCAGGUUGCCAAAGUCAGCAAGCUGCUCAUGAUGAUGGAAAGUGGACAAAUUACCAGAAAUUCUGUCAAUUCGCUAGACGAUAUUGAUGUUGACGACGAAUGUAUUGAAGAUUUACACGACAGAUGAACUAUAUUCUUCUGAAUCAUCCGAAAAUGAAAAUACUGAAGACCUUGAAACUCUGCUUCCCAGCACCAGUCAACCAAAAUUAACAGACAAAGAAAAGGGUACUUCAAAUACCAGGAGAACAAAACAAGCAGCCAAAAAGCAAUGGAGUGAAAACGAAAAAGGAGCUGUUCACAGACACUUAGAUCGUUUUUUGAUAAUGGGUAAAUUACCAGGGAAAAAAGAAAUACUUGCAUGUAUUGAAAGUGAGAAUGACCUUCACAACAGAAGUUGGAAAAAUGUCAAAGACUUUUGCAGACAUUUAAUUAAAACAAAAAAACGACGGGGACUUUUAACUUAAAAAAAUAUUACAUAUUUAAUGCACGUUUAGGAGAAUACGUUAAAGAAUAAAGUUUUCACGUGUG